rnacentral:rRNA from 1 species
UACGUAGGGGGCGAGCGUUGUCCGAAUUCACUGGGCGUAAAGCGCGCGUAGGCGGACUUUUAAGUUGUGGGUGAAAUGCCGAGGCUCAACCUCGGAACUGCCUGCAAAACUGGGAGUCUUGAGGUAUGGAGAGGGAAGUGGAAUUCCAGGUGUAGCGGUGAAAUGCGUAGAUAUCUGGAGGAACACCCGUGGCGAAGGCGGCUUCCUGGCCAUAUCCUGACGCUGAGGUGCGAAAGCUAGGGGAGCGAACGGG